UGGGGAAUUUUGGACAAUGGGGGCAACCCUGAUCCAGCAAUGCCGCGUGUGUGAAGAAGGCCUUCGGGUUGUAAAGCACUUUUGUCCGGAAAGAAAUCGCCCUGGCUAAUAUCCGGGGUGGAUGACGGUACUGGAAGAAUAAGCACCGGCUAACUACGUGCCAGCAGCCGCGGUAAUACGUAGGGUGCGAGCGUUAAUCGGAAUUACUGGGCGUAAAGCGUGCGCAGGCGGUUGUGCAAGACAGAUGUGAAAAUCCCCCGGGGCUUAAACCUGGGAAUGGCAUUUGUGACUGCACGGCUAGAGUGUGUCAGAGGGGGGUAGAAUUCCACGUGUAGCAGUGAAAUGCGUAGAUAUGUGGAGGAACACCGAUGGCGAAGGCAGCCCCCUGGGAUAACACUGACGCUCAUACACGAAAGCGUGGGGAGCAAACAGGAUUAGAUACCCUGGUAGUCCACGCCCUAAACGAUGUCAACUAGUUGUCGGGUCUUAAUUGACUUGGUAACGCAGCUAACGCGUGAAGUUGACCGCCUGGGGAGUACGGUCGCAAGAUUAAAACUCAAAUGAAGUUGACGGGGUCAUAGCUGUUUCCU
rnacentral:rRNA from 1 species